UGGGGAAUCUUGGACAAUGGGGGAAACCCUGAUCCAGCAAUUCCGCGUGAAUGAUGAAGGCCUUAGGGUUGUAAAAUUCUUUUAGUAAGGAAGAUGAUGACGGUACUUACAGAAAAAGCUCCGGCUAACUCCGUGCCAGCAGCCGCGGUAAUACGGAGGGGGCAAGCGUUGUUCGGAAUUACUGGGCGUAAAGAGCGAGCAGGUGGUUCAUUAAGUCAAUCGUGAAAGCUCAAGGCUCAACCUUGAAAUUGCUUUUGAUACUGAUGGACUAGAGUUUGGGAGAGGAUAGUGGAAUUCUAAGUGUAGAAGUGAAAUUCGUAGAUAUUUAGAGGAACACCGAUAGCGAAGGCAACUAUCUGGCCCAUGACUGACACUCAGAAGCGAAAGCUUGGGUAGCAAACAGG
rnacentral:rRNA from 1 species